AGCUUGCAGAGGCAAGGCCGAGGAUAAGGAAUAGAUGCCUGUCACCAAGCUGGGCCAAAUCAGGGACAUGAAGAUCAAGUCCCUGGAGAUAUACCUCUUCUCCCUGCCCAUCAAGGAAUCUGAGAUCACUGACUUUUUCCUGGGGCCUCUCUCAAGGAUGAGGUUUUGAAGAUUAUGCCAGGGCAGAAGCAGACCUGUGCCAGCCAGCAUGCCAGGUUCAAGGCAUUUGUUGCCACUGGGGACUACAAUGGCCAUGUCGGUCUGAAUGUUAAAUGCUCCAAGGAGGUGGCCACUGCCAUCACGGGGCCAUCAUCCUGGCCAAGCUCUCCAUGGUCCCCAUGCACAGAGGCUACUGGGGGACCAUGUAGCCCCACACCAUCCCUUGCAAGGUGACAGGCUGCUGCAGCUCUGUGCUAGUGUGCCUCUGUGCUGGUGCACCUCAUCCCCACACCCAGGGGCACUGGCAUCAUCUCAGCACCUGUGCUCAAGAAGCUGCUCAUGAUGGCUGGUAUAGAUGACUGGUACACCUCAGCCAGGGGCUGCACUGCCAUCUUGGGCAACUUCGCCAAGGCCACCUUUGAUGCCAUCUCUAAGAUCUACAGCUACCUGAUCCCCAACCUCUGGAAGGAGACUGUAUUCACCAAGUCUCCCUAUCAGGAAAUCACUGACCAUCUUGUCAAGACCCACACCAAAGUCUCUGUGCAGAGGACCCAGGCUCCAGCUGUGGCUACAACAUAGGGUUUUUAUACAACAAAAAUAAAGUAAAUUAACCCUGAAAAAAAA